rnacentral:rRNA from 1 species
AGGACGAACGCUGGCGGCGUGCUUAACACAUGCAAGUCGAACGGAAAGGCCCGCUUGCGGGUACUCGAGUGGCGAACGGGUGAGUAACACGUGGGCAACCUGCCCUCAGCUUCGGGAUAACACUUGGAAACAGGUGCUAAUACCGGAUAAUAACCUUUCAUCGCAUGGUGUGGGGUUCAAAGUUUUUCGGCUGGGGAUGGGCCCGCGGCCUAUCAGCUUGUUGGUGGGGUAAUGGCCUACCAAGGCGACGACGGGUAGCCGGCCUGAGAGGGCGACCGGCCACACUGGGACUGAGACACGGCCCAGACUCCUACGGGAGGCAGCAGUGGGAAUAUUGCGCAAUGGGCGGAAGCCUGACGCAGCGACGCCGCGUGAGGGAUGACGGCCUUCGGGUUGUAAACCUCUUUCAGCUCUGACGAAGCGCAAGUGACGGUAGGAGCAGAAGAGCACCGGCCAACUACGCGCCAGCAGCCGC